AAAGCGGUAAACACGAGUUAUUUCCCGUCAAGACUGAGGCUAGUGAGAGGGCGCUACCGUCAAGUGUGUUUAUGUCACGAAUGUGUGUUGUAAAAAUGGGGAAAAUGUUGUUGAAAUGGCAUAUGUAGUGAAUAAUCGUAGCCACUGCCUUGGAAUUAAUUGGACAGAGAGUGGCACUUUUUCUGCAUUCACUUAGAUUAUGGACGGUGUGACAUGAAAAACGUAAGACCUAUGGAAUACAUAAAGACUAUACUUACUGCGCAUGCGCACAAGAUGUUUACAUCGAUGACGAGCAUGGCCGUGAAACAUGUAAGACUGAGCAAAUUACAGCAGAAAUUUAUGAUUUUAUCAUCCUUUUAGAUAGGAACAGGUUAAGUUUUAACAUGAAGACACAAGUGGAGAAACAUUUUCGAUGAAUACAAGUAUACUGGAUAGCAAACAUCAGUACUGUCUUCAAUGACUGGGGAAUAGGACCCUACAAACAGAGUGCUGAAAGUUAGAGAUGUAGCUGCAAAUCAGCCUGUUAAGUACAGGGCAAAGGGAUGGCAGCAAGAAGUCAUCACUGAUGACUGUUGUCAGUGAUGGCAAAAAUUUCCAAAAAUUUAAAGUGGGUACAGCCCUUAUCAUGGACAUCAGAAGAAGAAUUGAAACUGGAGUGACUGUUGUUGUUACAAGUGCAACAAAGGUUUUUAUAUCUGCAUGAUAAUGAGCCAGCAGAUUUGAAAGCAGAGGGAGUCAGUCUGCUCAUCCCUCCACCCACUAAGAUUUUGAAAUUUUGUGUAUGUUUACGAGGUUAAAUAUUGACGAAAUUGUAAAAAUUGUAUCCUACUUGAAUUAUACUAAUGGUGAAUAUUAAUGCAAGGAUUAAUUUUCGUGAGAAGUAGGGCCUCGCGAAUGUAGCAAAAAUUAAACCCUCGUGAACAUUUCUGCUUUUACAGUUUACACAGAUGCCUAAUCUGCCAACAUAAAAUAUACACACGAGCGGUAAUACAUCGUACAA